UAGGUACUUAAUCUAAUCAAUCUAAAUAUAUAUAAAUCUAAUAAUGAGAAAAAAAUAAUAAUAUAUAAGUAUUGGUGAUAGGCAAUAAAUAAUAUGCUGUCGUCGUCAAAACGGUGUCCACUCAGCUACUGCAGCGCCUUUGGUUGGUUUAAAGGACACUGCGCUGGUUUUCAGUGGAAGCCUUAUAGUGACGCACUACGCGUAGGUAGUUAAUAAAAAUCAAACGAAAACACGGAGGAAACAAAAACAAAGUGAAGUGCGCGAGCGACGACAUGGCGGAGCGCGUUCGCCCUGAAAUCUACUUUCAGGCAGGAGCGGCACACAUAGCCGGCCACACGUGUCGCGCGCGCACCGAGACAAAUAAUAAGAACGUGAUAAUAACACUAAUUAAUAUCAAUAUAAAGUGAACAGAAACACGACACAUUAUAGUAACAUAAAGAAACAAUAAUGAUAAAUAACAUUAAGAAUUACGGUUCCAAGGACUAAAAUGAAAUGUCAAAGCGUGUAGAAGAAUAUUAUGAACGAUGAACGUGUGUGUGUAGCAGACAAUAAUGGGAAUGGGCCUGCAACCAUGCAAACGAAAUCCUACCUUGCGCAUCGUGGAUAAAAUUCAAACCACGUAUAGGGGGUGGGAGAUUAUUGAAGAUGUCGCUGGCAAGGUACUUAAAGCUAUGCCGAUACAUGGCUGAUUUGUGCUUGGGGGUGAGCAUCAGAUACGUGGAGGCCCUCGUGUUGAUGGUGUGGUGUUGGCGAGAUACCAGAAUGUAUUAUAAGAUUAA